CCGUAGCUGCGGCGCGCGGGACGUUCGGUUGUGGCGGCGAUGGCGGAGCGGCGGCGAAGGGCGGCGAACGUGCUGGGCGAGCUCCUGCGGCGAAUAUGUGAAGAGGGAAGGGAGAGUGUCCCUGAACGUCCAUAUCUCUACGAGACUGAUGUGGAGAUCUGUUUGGUUGGUGGCAGUUGCAAAAGUCCUGUCGAAAGAUUUUGGAAUGGGAGCAGCACAAUGUAUAUUUUGCAGAAGGCAACACACCGUGAAGAAGGUGACUCCAUGGAAGAAUCAAAACCAGAUGAAGCUCUUUUUCCCUCUGAGCUUUUGCCAAAGGAGAGUCCUGGACCAGCAGCUCUUUCUGUGGGAAGAGCAAAGCAGUUGGUUUCCUUAUAUGCAAUGGUGCAAAAUCCAAACGUGACCCACCUGGGAAUAAGGGACCUGGUGCUUCCUCCUCUCUGGAUCAGGUGUGAUGGUUCUGAUCCUGAACACACCUGUUGGAUUGGAGCUGAGCCUCUCAGAGCUGGAAAGAAAAUCACAGGGAUCACGAUUUACAUGGUGUCAUGUGAUGGUCCUACAGCUGAUAAAACCUGUUUUGCAAACCUGGAAGAGCUCAAAAUGGAACAUAAAAGAAGACAUCAUUCAUCUGUGGUGACAACAAAAGGAUUUGCUCAGUAUGAACUGAUCCAAGUUGCUGCAAUGGAGGACACCACUGUAGAAUCUGGAGGCAAUAUCUAUGUUGAUAUUACAUGGAAUGUUGUUGAUAAGAUUCUGGAGACUCCCCCACUGAUUUCAGCUGCCACUCUGAACAUUGCCCUGGAGUCAGGGGAUCCCAGGAGUCCUGUGUACCAGGUGUAUCGGGAGCUGCAGCUUCUCCUGGCUUUGGCUGAAGGUUUGAAGACGGGUGUGACUGAGUGGCCUGAGCCUCUGGAGUCUGAGUCAGCUGUUGAACUGGUCCAGGAAUUCCUGACUGAUUUAAAGAAGAAGCUGGAUGGAGACUGUGGGUCUGGGAGCAAGGAUGAAACAGAGAAAAUCCAAUGUGACACGGCUGCAGUGGACAGUUACAUCAAAUCCAUCUUCAGUGAGAGAGGAGACCUGGAUUUUGCUGAACAAUUAUGGUGCAAAAUGAGAAGUGUCAUUUCCUACCAGGAGUUGAUAGACUGUUUCACACGGGUCAUAAAAUCCCUGGAGCGUGGUGAGAUCCAGCCCUGGAUUCAUCAGGGGAGCAGCAGCUUCCUCCGGAAGUUAAUCCAGCAGUCCUACCAUGGGAAGAUGGAGGUGGUUUCCCUCAGUGGCAUCACUCCCAUCCAGAUGCUCUUUGAGAUUGGCUUGGAUAAGUUGAAGAAGGAUUAUGUCAGUUUUUUCAUAGGUCAGGAACUUGCAACAUUAACCUACUUGGAUUACUUCACUUCCACAUCAGUGGAUCUACAGGAACAAGUUCAUCGUGUUCAAAAGCUCCACCAUAUGCUGGAAAUAAUGGUCAACUGCAGAGUCUUACUCCAGUUCAGACAUGAGAACCUCUUCCCUUUGACACAGAUUUGCAUGAAGUAUUACAAGGAAAACCCCCUCAACGAGAAACACGUGUUUCAGCUGCCCAUCAGACCAGCUCUUGUGAAGAAAUUCUACCAAAAUGAACACCCUGAGUUAUGGAAGGUGGAGAUAAGCAGUGGGCACGGAGCAAAGGAGGUGAAAACAAUGUGGCAAGUCAGUACUAAUCCUCCUGUGGAACAUGUGGCAUCAAACAAUUCAGGUCUCUUCUCUGACUCCACAGUAAAUGGGAGCCCUGAAGACAGGCUGUAUUUUAUCACAGUGACCAAGUGCAGUCAGGUGCAUUUCACAUAAAUCCAGAUCUCCUCUACUCACCUUGAUGAAGUUGAGCAAUCUUCUGAACCCCCAGGGCACAGAAUAAAGCCACUUAGGACCCGGAGCUGGCCAGUUGGGGUCCACCAGCUCAGCCAAGUCCCUGUCAGUGUGGUAACCAGACACUUGGAGAAAGGGAAAGUUCUUCUGCAGGACAUAACGAGUGGUGAAAUGACCUAUUCCCAGGAAAUCUGAGGUGCCUUUAAUGUAGGUUUUCUCCUGCACUGAGAAGAGGAAUUCCUUAGGGUGAUGUCUGUGGAAAAACCAGCUCUCCAGUCUGGAGGUUCAGCUCAAGCUCUUCAUUCUUUUAGUUCCAACCUCUUAUCUCCAGAUGUACACCAGGCCUGGGUCACCCCUAACAGAAGAUACCCUAAAACUGAGAAAAACAGGAAAUUUUGGGAGUAAGUGAAAUGAGGAUGCCUUGGUGCCCACCUCUGCUGGCCUCCCACUGUGGGAACACCAGUCUUGUAUCCUGGGAAUUCUGUGGGCAGCUUCUGAAGCCAGUCUCCAUGGGAAGAAAACCUCCAGAGUGUGGAAGAUCUUGUGUUUGAAUCCUGAGCUCGCGAUCCCUGAGAUCCCUGAGAUGAGCUGGAGAUGGCUCCAUGCUAAGGGUGGGCCUGCAUUUGAUGGGAGCCCUGCAAGCUGCUGCAGGCUACCCCUGAUUGGAAUUCCCUUGGAUUGGCCUAAUUGCAGGCUCUGCCAUCAUCUGUUUGCAAUCACAAAGAGGAAGCUUCUGAAGCUUGGGAAUGAGAGAAAAUGAAGUGUCCUGACACAACUUCAAAACAUCCAGAAUGCUCUUGGAGGUUUUCCCGUCGCUGUUUCUGUCAGAUCUCCUCUGAAAACAGUCUCACUGAAGGGAGGUUCAGAUCAGCAACACGGACCAGAAGGGUGUCCAGAGAUCAGAACAGCAGUAGCAGUUGGCCUUGAGGAUGAAUUCCAGCCACAGUCCCAUCCCAUGGCUGAUCCAGGAUGCUUGGGAAGCAGGCACAUGGUGGCCUCCAUGGAUGGCAACCAGCAGCAAACCCACAGCUGGACCUGCAGGGAUCCAGCACAACAACAAAAUCCGAAGAUCAGUUUUGACAGAGUAAAAUACUACAAAUUACACUGUCAGAUGACCUCAUCACCCAGGGCUGGCACGCUGGAUUGCAACAUUGCUGGAAGGAAAAGCAGGAGCACUACAGGAA